rnacentral:rRNA from 1 species
UACGGAGGGGGCUAGCGUUGUUCGGAAUUACUGGGCGUAAAGCGCACGUAGGCGGCUUUGUAAGUUAGAGGUGAAAGCCCGGAGCUCAACUCCGGAAUUGCCUUUAAGACUGCAUCGCUCGAAUCAUGGAGAGGUAAGUGGAACUCCUAGUGUAGAGGUGGAAUUCGUAGAUAUUCGGAGGAACACCAGUGGCGAAGGCGGCUCGCUGGCUCGAUACUGACGCUGAGGUGCGAAAGCGUGGGGAGCAAACGGG